UACGUAGGGGGCGAGCGUUGUCCGGAGUUACUGGGCGUAAAGCGCACGCAGGCGGUCUGCUAAGUUUGGAGUGACAGUUGGUGGCUUAACUGCCAAAGUGCUUCGAAAACUGACAGACUUGAGGGCUUCAGAGGGACACGGAAUUCCGGGUGGAGUGGUGAAAUGCGUAGAGAUCCGGAGGAACACCAGUGGCGAAGGCGGCUCACUGGUCCAUUACUGACGCUGAGGUGCGAAAGCGUGGGGAGCAAACAGG
rnacentral:rRNA from 1 species